rnacentral:rRNA from 1 species
GUGGGGAAUAUUGGACAAUGGGGGGAACCCUGAUCCAGCCAUGCCGCGUGUGUGAAGAAGGCCUUUUGGUUGUAAAGCACUUUAAGCGAGGAGGAGGCUACCGAGAUUAAUACUCUUGGAUAGUGGACGUUACUCGCAGAAUAAGCACCGGCUAACUCUGUGCCAGCAGCCGCGGUAAUACAGAGGGUGCAAGCGUUAAUCGGAUUUACUGGGCGUAAAGCGCGAGUAGGUGGCCAAUUAAGUCAAAUGUGAAAUCCCCGAGCUUAACUUGGGAAUUGCAUUCGAUACUGGUUGGCUAGAGUAUGGGAGAGGAUGGUAGAAUUCCAGGUGUAGCGGUGAAAUGCGUAGAGAUCUGGAGGAAUACCGAUGGCGAAGGCAGCCAUCUGGCCUAAUACUGACACUGAGGUGCGAAAGCAUGGGGAGCAAACAGGAUUAGAAACCCUGGUAGUCC